rnacentral:misc_RNA from 1 species
UAUUUUUGUGUUUUAAAAUGUUUAAUUAGUAGUUAUACCUUGAGUUUUCUGUGUCCACUGUGCGUUGCUGUACUUAGAAUUGGGUGCUAGAGAGGCGGUGGAGAUAGUCUAUCUAUGGAUUUUAUGGUUUGAUUUUGUAAGUUUAUUUACCCAUUGAGUUUGAUAUUGUUUGUCUUUCUCAUAUUUCUAUAUAUUUGUUCUCAUCUCAUUGAUGUGGCUUUGGAUGCUGUCAAUGAACAAGUCAUUUGUUU